CUUGAUCGAGCCGAGCAGCAGAGGCUGUUCGGGCGUGUGCUCCUGCCCGUACGUGGCGAGGAGGGCCUGCGCCUC
rnacentral:antisense_RNA from 1 species